rnacentral:rRNA from 1 species
CCCUACGGGGCGCAGCAGUAAGGAAUUUUCCGCAAUGGGCGAAAGCCUGACGGAGCGACACCGCGUGGAGGAAUAAGUUUUUCGGAAUGUAAACUCCUUUUGUCAGGGACGAAAAAAAUGACGGUACCUGAAGAAUAAGCAUCGGCUAACUACGUGCCAGCAGCCGCGGUAAUACGUAGGAUGCAAGCGUUGUUCGGAAUUACUGGGCGUAAAGAGUACGUAGGCGGUUAAUUAAGUCUUUUAUUAAAGACCGGGGCUCAGCUUCGGGAAUAUAAAGGAAACUGGUUGACUAGAGGUUAGAAGGGGAAAUCGGAAUUCUUAGUGUAGCGGUGAAAUGCGUAGAUAUUAGGAAGAACACCAGUGGCGAAAGCGGAUUUCUGGUCUAAAACUGACGCUGAGGUACGAAGGCGUGGGGAGCAAACGGGAUUAGAUACCCGUGUA